GAGAAUACAAAUACACACAGAAAAGAAAGCCAUGUAACCAUGAAGGCAGAGAUUGAAGUGAUUCAACUAUAAGCCAAGGCACAAAAACGUGUUUUGAACCUACUCUAACCAACUGUCAAAAGGCUGUGUUAAGUGAUUCUCUGACAAGAACCUUGGCCAUUCUCAUGUUUAACCAAGAGUUGAGCUGAGUGGCUCUGACCAGCAUGGAAGAUGAGAGCAGCCUGAACUUCUACUGUGAAAAUGCCCUGGAGAAAUGCAGAGAUGCAGGUUUAAUGAAGUCCAUCAGGGUGUCCAGUUUCAAUCACUAACUGUUGGAACUGAUCCUCAGACAAGCCAGGACUCAAGUACAAGCCCACCUACAACCAGAUGAGCCCUUAGGGCCACUGGGGCCAUUUCUGACUUUGUGCUCUUCACACACUUCCUUACAUUAGAAUAAUGUAAUUGUUCAGUAUGUUGUGCUUUAAUUUUUUAAGAGAAUGUCA
rnacentral:lncRNA from 1 species